CAGCAGCCGCGGUAAUACGUAGGGUGCGAGCGUUAAUCGGAAUUACUGGGCGUAAAGCGUGCGCAGGCGGUUCGUUAAGACAGAUGUGAAAUCCCCGGGCUUAACCUGGGAACUGCAUUUGUGACUGGCGAGCUAGAGUAUGGCAGAGGGGGGUAGAAUUCCACGUGUAGCAGUGAAAUGCGUAGAGAUGUGGAGGAAUACCGAUGGCGAAGGCAGCCCCCUGGGCCAAUACUGACGCUCAUGCACGAAAGCUAGGGGAGCAAACAGGAUUAGAUACCCCAGUAGUCCCUGUCUCUUAUAC
rnacentral:rRNA from 1 species